rnacentral:SRP_RNA from 1 species
ACAGGGAAAGGUGGUGCAUGCCUAUAUUCUCAAUUUUUUGGGAGGCUGAGACAGGGGCAUUGCUUGAGGCAAGGAUUUCUAAGAUAUAGUGUGUCUUGGCAGUCAGAUGUCCACACUAAGUUUUUCAUCAGUGUGGUAACCUCCUGUGAGCAGGAGACUGCCAGGUUGCUCAAAGAAGGGUAAACUAUCCCAGCUCAGAAAUGAAGCAGUCAAAACUCUCAUGCUGAUCCCGUAGUGGGAUCACACCUGUGAAUAGUCACAAUAGUCACGGCAUUCCAGCCUGGACAACAUAACGAUACCCUGUGUCUU